GGUAGUGGGGGACGAACGUUUCGAAAGGAACGCUAAUACCGCAUACGUCCUACGGGAGAAAGCAGGGACCUUCGGGCCUUGCGCUAUCAGAUGAGCCUAGGUCGGAUUAGCUAGUUGGUGAGGUAAUGGCUCACCAAGGCGACGAUCCGUAACUGGUCUGAGAGGAUGAUCAGUCACACUGGAACUGAGACACGGUCCAGACUCCUACGGGAGGCAGCAGUA
rnacentral:rRNA from 1 species